rnacentral:misc_RNA from 1 species
AUAAAAUCGAUCAUGGUUGGAGGAGAGGUGCUAAACAUACCUGAGAAGACUUGGAUUGUGUCCUCUGAUGGUGCUGGUGGUACGAUUGUGGAUUCUGGUACUACACUCAGCUAUUUUGCAGAACCAGCUUACCAGAUUAUAAAGGAUGCAUUUGUGAAGAAGGUUAAAGGCUAUCCAAAGAUGAAAGAUUUCCCAGUUCUGGA